CUAAAACAUUAUCAUUAUGCUGAAAACAAUGAAGACUCGCAAGUCCUGCACUUAGACGUAUUGUCUCCAAAAUUAAUAGAUUAACAUUUAAUAAUUUUAUGUCGAGCUUGCGACAUUAAACAAAGCGCUUCGUGGGAGACAACCCACAAAUUUUUAUUUUUUUCUUUGAUUAUUCUUUUUGAUUUUAUUCAGUUUUCAUUCUUCAUUUUCUUUAUUUUAUUAAAUUUUCUUCUUUUCUUCUUUCGGCAUUGUCGCAUCCGCGAAAAACAACCAGCGGGCUAAAACAAAACAACACAGAGCCGCCACCGUGCGUUAUUUAUCCCAAAAGAGGGAAAGGAAACGCUCAGAGUAAACCUGGGAAAAGCAAGGUCUCGCGACUAAAGAGAAAGGGUACGGGAGUCGGUUACGCAAGGGGAAGGUAUUAGCACCCCUCACGUCCGUCGUACUCGACGGGAUCCACGCUCUAAAGAAAGAAAAAGUUGUUAAACAAACAUCACACACACACGUCGAAG
rnacentral:lncRNA from 1 species